UACAGAGGGGGCAAGCGUUAUUCGGAAUUAUUGGGCGUAAAGGGCGCGUAGGCGGCUUUGCAAGUGACGGGUGAAAUCCCUCGGCUUAACCGAGGAACUGCCCUCCAAACUGCUUCGCUUGAGACCGGGAGAGGUGAGUGGAAUUCCCAGUGUAGCGGUGAAAUGCGUAGAUAUUGGGAGGAACACCAGUGGCGAAGGCGGCUCACUGGACCGGUACUGACGCUGAUGCGCGAAAGCGUGGGGAGCAAACGGG
rnacentral:rRNA from 1 species